AGUGAACGCUGGCGGUAGGCCUAACACAUGCAAGUCGAACGGCAGCACAGUAAGAGCUUGCUCUUACGGGUGGCGAGUGGCGGACGGGUGAGGAAUACAUCGGAAUCUACUUUUUCGUGGGGGAUAACGUAGGGAAACUUACGCUAAUACCGCAUACGACCUACGGGUGAAAGCAGGGGAUCUUCGGACCUUGCGCGAUUGAAUGAGCCGAUGUCGGAUUAGCUAGUUGGCGGGGUAAAGGCCCACCAAGGCGACGAUCCGUAGCUGGUCUGAGAGGAUGAUCAGCCACAAUGGAACUGAGACACGGUCCAGACUCCUACGGGAGGCAGCAGUGGGGAAUAUUGGACAAUGGGCGCAAGCCUGAUCCAGCCAUACCGCGUGGGUGAAGAAGGCCUUCGGGUUGUAAAGCCCUUUUGUUGGGAAAGAAAAGCAGCAGGUUAAUACCCCGCUGUUCUGACGGUACCCAAGGAAUAAGCACCGGCUAACUUCGUG
rnacentral:rRNA from 1 species